AGGAGUCGUCCAUAGAGACUGCCUUCGCUUGAAGUUUCCAUGCGAUCCGUCCGCUCCGUCGGACUUCUUCCGUCCAAGAGUCCGUGCCCCAGGUUUUCCUUCAUCCAUCCUCCGACCGUCAACCUCCACCGGCCGCCGUCCGGCAAGCCUCCGGCCCCGAGCAGUAACCCUCAGCUGGCCCAGGUUCGCCGCAACGGCUGGGAUUGUCUUGAGUUUUUGGGGAUUUUGAAGCUCCCAUUCGAGAGACAGACGGAAAUCAUCCAGAGGUCAAGGAGAGCUCCUCAUAGGAACUUAGUGCCGUUAUAGAUGGAACUAGCACAGAGAUUGGAUUUGAAAGGAAGGAUUCAAGGGUUUGGUGAAAGGAAGGUUGUUACUAGCAGAGCUUCAGUUUCCACUGUUGCAUGGCUUACUCUUGCCAUGCUGCAGCAACAGAGUUCGGCAUAAUUCUGUUUUUCUUUGCCAAGGUAGAACCACAAUGGGCAGGUACAUGCAAUGGUUUGGCUGCAAGCUUUGACCUGGUGCAAGAAGGACAGAUCUAUGGCAGUGGAAACUGGGUUGUCAUUGGGAAGUAAGAAGCCUCUUGAAAAAUAUAAGUAAGCAUGGUAGACAUAAAAGUUGCUGAGGCAAGCAAAGUUAUACUUGUCAUUGGAAUAAUGAAGCUUCACUUUUUUGGGGAUGGUUUGGGUCUUGGGGUAUCCUUUGCUGGUUCAAAAGGGCUUUCUCAAGGUCUUUUGGUUACUCUAGCAAUAGCCAUGCACAAUAUACCUGAAGGUUUAGUGGAGAGCAUGGUUCUAGCAUCCCAAGGGGUCUCUCCUCACGAUGUGAUGUUGUGAAAUUUCAGUAAAUCAUUGCCCCAGGAUGUCUGAGAUGAGGCAUUUAUGCUAUUUUAACUUUUGAAUGGUUCAAACCACGACUUCUACCAAUGAGGUGUGCUUUGGAGAGGGAUGCCAAAGGACUGAAAUGUGACUUCGUUUUAUUUGGUGAUCAUAUUUAUACAUGCAGCAAGCCUUUUGUGCAUUUGGUGGGACUGCAACAUGAUCUCUGUCUGACAAGCUGGAGUCUCUCCAAUUUCCAGCCAAGCGAUGCAAUGCUUUCUUUCUUUCUGGAGAAUAUGGUGGGAGGGCAACCAUCUGAGUCGAACUUAAGACCUACACCAAGGAAUGGGGUACCAACCAGCUCAUAUUUGCUGGCUGAUCUAUUUUUAUUGAUGCAAAACUUGAUACUUGACUGCAUUGCCAUGGUGUGAGAUGGUGGUCGGACCCUUCUGAUUUUUUAAUAUCAUCCUGCUAUUCAAAUGGGGUUGAUGUAAAUGACUCCUGGUCAGUUUUUUGAUUUUUUGUUACCUUGUUUGAUGAUUGGGUACUCUUUCCUUCUUCAUGACAAGAAACCUCUUACUUGUUUGAUAUGCUUGGUUUGUGUCAUGCAAAGUUGUUGGGUUUUUAUUUUUU